GUGGGGAAUAUUGGACAAUGGGGGGAACCCUGAUCCAGCCAUGCCGCGUGUGUGAAGAAGGCCUUUUGGUUGUAAAGCACUUUAAGCGAGGAGGAGGCUACCGAGAUUAAUACUCUUGGAUAGUGGACGUUACUCGCAGAAUAAGCACCGGCUAACUCUGUGCCAGCAGCCGCGGUAAUACAGAGGGUGCAAGCGUUAAUCGGAUUUACUGGGCGUAAAGCGCGCGUAGGUGGCCAGUUAAGUCAAAUGUGAAAUCCCCGAGCUUAACUUGGGAAUUGCAUUGGAGACUGGUUGGCUAGAGUAUGGGAGAGGAUGGUAGAAUUCCAGGUGUAGCGGUGAAAUGCGUAGAGAUCUGGAGGAAUACCGAUGGCGAAGGCAGCCAUCUGGCCUAAUACUGACACUGAGGUGCGAAAGCAUGGGGAGCAAACAGGAUUAGAAACCCUUGUAGUCC
rnacentral:rRNA from 1 species